rnacentral:pre_miRNA from 1 species
UUAAGUGAAAUUUGUAUGGAGUUGGAACGUUCGUUUACGUUUGCCGUUAGGGACGCUGUUUCAACUUCAUACAAAUUUGUUA